UUCAGUCACGGUUUUUGGUGGA
rnacentral:miRNA from 2 species